CGCCCAACCGCCUCGAGCACGCAUGCGCCGGGCCCACAGGCAGCCAUGGCUGCUCGGGACCCGGCCUGGACUCUUGGCCCGAACCCCCUGGCUUCUCGCCGGUCCCCGACAGGAACUGGGCUCGCGAUCCCCGGAGGCGCCGGCACAGAGCGUCUUCCCUGGGUGCCAGCUUUGGCUCAGCGGUGACCGGCGUCUCGCCCUCACGGAGGGGUGGGCCCGGGGCCGCCGGCCUGGCUGCUGACGGAGAUGAUGGGAUCUAACUUCAUAUUAUGGACCCAAAGCAAAGAUCAUGACCAUAGCAUCAAGUGGAGACUCUCCUGAGCAGGAUGUGUGAUCUGGAAGUGGGCUUUGAGAGGCUGACUGCUGCAGGCACAAGGAGCAGACUCGGAACCGGUCCUUGCACAGCCCAGCUCACAGGACAAAAUGAAGCUAUUGCUACAGCACCCUGGGGUAAACUGAGGAAGCUGCUCAACACUGAUCCGCCCUGAGGCUCCAGUCGUCGCAGGGGUGACGCCAUCAGUACUCCCAGCACACCUGCUCCCUCUUCAGGGCACGCAGGUUGGAAAAGUACCUGAAGCGUCAGAAUGCUAGGAAAGAACCUUCGUACUCGUCAGAAGUGAAGACGGCAUAUAAUUCCUGAAGCCUGUAGUGACUGAUACAGAAUUUGAUCCUGAAGUUAAGAGACCCUGUAAUUUUGGAAUGAACUGUGGUUGUGAUACAAAAAAAUCCCAUUUGACGAGAAUGCAGCAUUUUACAGUGCUUCGAUUAUAACAG